AUGCAUUAUGCAGUAAAAAUACGUUGUAUAUACUCUCUAUGCUUUAUUCAUAAUAAAUAUAUAUACACACAAAAACUGAUACAAAAUAUCAUAGUAGAGUAUAUACUUAACUAUAACCACACCGAUUUGAAUCAAAAAAAAUUUGUUCAUGCUUUUUUUAUUGCAAUAUCGCUUUUAAGAAAUAAAAAUAAUAAAACACCGAAAAUUAUAAUUUUUUUGCUAAUAAACAAAUGUUAUGAUUUUAUUUUUUCACUAAACAUAAAUGACGCAUAUGACAUAAAACAGGAAACUCAUUUAAAGGGUUUAGAAGAAAGUACAACGUAUAAACAGUUUUUGGGUAUCCAAAGUAAUCGCACUGAUGGUAUUACCAUUGUUCCAAAGUGUAGUAUGAAAACGAAGGUCUGUCGUUCUGACAGUACUAGUAUGUCCACUGCUUCGUACUCAGCACAUAACUUAAAAGAUUCAGAAAAAAAAAACAAACAGAAUACUAGUAGUAGUAAUAGUAAUAGUAAAGAUACCAUACAAAUAAAUGAUUAUACAACCAGUAGUAACAACAUAAUAGAUAAAAUUAAUAAAAUAACUGCAAACGUUAAAGAUGCAGUAUGUUAUAACAGCGUCGGUGCUAAUAAUCACCUGAACAUUUUAAAAAAAAAUAAGCCACAAAAAAAUAAAAUAAUUAACGGCACCGAUGCUGAUCUACCACAAAACAACGACACAACUCACGGCAUAACUGAUGACAUAACUGACGACAUAACUGAUGACAUAACUUACGAUAUAACUUACGACGCAAACUUGAUUAUCCAAAAAAAUGAAGAAGAAAACAUAAAAAUGGUUUUAGAAUCUCUCGGUAACAUCAAAUUUAAUAUGGAAAGCGUAUUUACCGAUUUUGAUAAUUUAUUUUUCCCAGAAACUAAUAGCAAAACAAUUAACAAUGAAUAUAUUUUUAAUAAAUAUAAAAAAGAGCUGACUAUAAGUGGUUAUAACACGAACAAUUUAAAUGGUAUUAACAACAAUAAUUAUAUUAAAAAAAAAUUAAAAAAAUACCACAAAUUUUCAUUCGUUUGUAAGAAAGUACAUGACUUUUACAACAUUUCAGUUGGAAAUAAAACAAAACUAGAUAACCAUUUUCUUAAAUUAACAAAAACAAAGUCAGAAUAUAUAGAACAACUAAUAAAUUUACUAUACCUAAUUUAUAUGUUAAAAAAUGCAUCUUCUUUUGUAACUAUAUCUGACUAUAUUGUUAUUAUUUUAAUCAGAUCUAUAAGUAGAAAUACAAAUUUGUUAAAUGCGUUUAGAAAAAAAAUAUAUAUAGAAAAUCAAUUACAAUUUGAUAUGUGUGAUUAUUUGUUUAGCAGCUUAUAUAAUCAUCAACACUUUACUAGUUUAUCAUCUAACCAAAGCCAAAACCAAAGCCAAAACCAAAGCCAAAACCAAAACCAAAGCCAAAACCAAAACCAAAGCCAAAACCAAAGCCAAAACCAAAGCCAAAACCAAAGCCAAAACCAAAACCAAAACCAAAACCAAAACAAAAACCAAAAUGGUUUAUCAUUUUUUUACUCAACUCCUUCAAUAACAACCACUUUCCCUGAUCUUACCACCUCAAACUCUUCCUUUUUUCUCAUAGAGUUGUUAAGAGCAAUCGUACACAUGAUAUUAAUGGGAGAUAUUAGAGUAUAUAAAAUUUAUUACAACUGUUUAAAACAAAAUGAAAUGGUUCAAGAACAAAUAAAAACAGAACAUCACAACAGGAAUAAUAAUGAAAACAUAUAUGUAACCCCGUUUAAUCAGAAUACUAACACUGCUGAAUUGCACACCAAUUUUCACCCACAUAACAACAUAGAAUCUAAUGUACACAAAAUCGAGUUUAAUAAUGACAUGCGUUAUUCAAAACAAGUAAUUCAAGAGAAAAGGGAAUAUGUACAUGGCGGAAGUAGCGAUAGGUGUAGCAAUGGCACAAACACAAGCACAAACACCACACACAACAUGAACAGCAAUAAAAAUAAAUACUUUUUUUUUGCUUCUGUCUAUACAAACUAUAUCGAAAAAAAAGCCCUUUGUAGCCAUGGAACAAGCAUUUUUAGCGCUUUCCAAUUCUGCUAUGAAAUAUCAAAAGCAUAUAAAAACUGUGAGUUAGAUAUGUUACUAUGGAAUAAUUUUUAUCAACUUCUUUUAAUUUUUCAACAAAAAUAUCCAUUUAUGUUUUUACCAUUUUCUCACAGCUUUAAUAAAUAUUUUAAAACAUAUAUACAAAAAAAAUACACCAUUUUUAAUUUCUAUUAUUUUCUAUACGGUUUGGACUCAACUAAUGAAUAUGAAAAACAAAAUUAUUUUUCGUUUAAUCAGACUACAAACGAUAUGCCUUGUUCUCACAACACAUAUUAUGAACAAUGUGCAACUCUUAAUUGUAGAAGUCCACUCAAUAAAUACUCUGAUAAUAACACCUGUCACAAUCAUUACGACAUUAAUAACAAAUAUAAAUACGACAAAAACAUACAAACCAUUCUUAAACGAAAAAAUCUCUUUAUUAAUUCAUUAUCAUAUAAAAAUAAAACUAACAAAACCAAAAUAUAUAAAUAUAAAAUAAUCGGUUAUAUACGAUUAUUUAAUAUCUUACAGUCAGUAAAAAAAAGCAAUAAAUUAAAAAAAAAUUUUAUACAAUAUGCUUAUAUCAAAUAUAUUGUCAAGUACAUUAAUACUUUUUUGAGAGUUCUGAUAAUCAACACGUCUAAUAAUAAUGUGAACUUUUAUCAAAAUUCAAUACUUAAUGAUUUACAGAAUAUACUCAUAUUUUUAUAUGGUCAUGGGAUACCUCCAUGUUUUGUGAAGGAUCGGCCUUGGGUGUACAAGCCGCACUACCAAGAGUAA
ensembl:lncRNA